rnacentral:rRNA from 1 species
GGGUGCGAUCAUACCAGCACUAAUGCACCGGAUCCCAUCACAACUCCGCAGUUAAGCGUGCUUGGGCGAGAGUAGUACUAGGAUGGGUGACCUCCUGGGAAGUCCUCGUGUUGCACCCC